rnacentral:misc_RNA from 1 species
CAGCCGCGUAAUUCCAGCUCCAAUAGCGUAUAUUAAAGUUGUUGCAGUUAAAAAGCUCGUAGUUGAAUUUCGGGAUCAAUGUUUCGGUCAUGCCGUUGGUAUGUACUGAUAUUAUUGAUUUCUCACCUUCUAAAGAACCGUAAUGCCAUUAAUUUGGUGUCACGGGGAAUUAGGACUGUUACCUUGAAAAAAUUAGAGUGUUUAAAGCAGGCUCACGCUUGAAUACAUUAGCAUGGAAUAAUGAAAUAGGACAUCCGAUUCUAUUUUGUUGGUUUCUAGGAUCGAUGUAAUGAUUAAUAGGGAUAGUUGGGGGCAUUAGUAUUCAAUUGUCAGAGGUGAAAUUCUUGGAUUUAUUGAAGACUAACUACUGCGAAAGCAUUUGCCAAGGAUGUUUUCAUUAAUCAAGAACGAAAGUUAGGGAAUCGAAGACGAUCAGAUACCGUCGUAGUCUUAACCAUAAACUAUGCCGACUAGGGAUCGGAUGAUGUUAAUUUUUUAAUGACUCAUUCGGCGCCUUACG